ACUUCACCUGGAGAGGCGUCCCCGAGGCAAAUUCACGCUCUCUCCGGCGUUUAAUCCGAGGGAACUCGUGGAGUGCUUUAACUUCGCCUUCGCUUUUGUUUUAUCUCCAUUACUCCCUUCGGUUGCCACUGGCGACAACACUACUCGCCCACGCUUCUUACUGGAGGAGGCCUGCCCCUCCGUAGAAUCCCCGCAGAGCCGGCCUGUAACCCCGGCGUUGUCUGCCGCAGCAGGCCUCGUUACGCGCUACCUUGUGACGUCACCAGGGAAGAGGCGGAUUCUCUCCUACUACAGAAAGACGUCUGCUGUUUUGAUUGGCUAGGAAAGACGUCCGUUAGGACGUGUUGCCCUUUCUGUGUAAGCUGUGAGCGUAGGCGGCCCUGAGGGGGUGUGUGGCAGGGGUUUCCAAGCCCAGCACCAGCACCCUUGCCCUUUUCCAUCUGGGGUUCAGCCUAGGGUCCCCCCUGGUGGGCGGCUCCCGAGUCUUGGAGAAGAGCACGAGAACCUAGACCGCCCCCGAAGUGCGGAGACCCCCUGGGCAGGCUGAAAGAUGGCGGCGGCGUCUGUCUCUGCGGCUUCUGGUUCUCACUUGUCGAACAGCUUUGCUGAGCCAUCAAGGUCUAAUGGAAGCAUGGUUCGGCAUUCUUCAUCUCCAUAUGUAGUAUAUCCUUCGGAUAAGCCUUUCCUUAAUAGUGAUCUACGACGCUCCCCAAGUAAGCCUACACUUGCCUAUCCAGAAAGCAACAGCAGAGCCAUAUUUUCUGCUCUUAAGAAUCUUCAAGAUAAGAUUCGACGCUUGGAACUUGAGAGGAUUCAGGCAGAAGAAAGUGUGAAAACCUUGUCUAGAGAAACAAUUGAAUAUAAGAAAGUACUGGAUGAACAGAUACAAGAGAGGGAGAAUUCAAAGAAUGAGGAAUCAAAGCACAAUCAAGAACUGACAUCUCAGUUGUUAGCUGCAGAAAAUAAAUGCAAUCUAUUAGAAAAACAACUGGAAUACAUGCGAAAUAUGAUAAAGCAUGCCGAAAUGGAGAGGACAUCUGUCUUAGAGAAACAAGUUUCCCUAGAAAGAGAACGACAACAUGAUCAAACACAUGUUCAGAGCCAACUUGAAAAAUUGGAUCUUCUUGAACAGGAGUAUAACAAACUUACCACAAUGCAGGCCCUUGCAGAAAAAAAAAUGCAAGAGUUGGAAGCAAAACUCCAUGAAGAAGAACAGGAAAGGAAACGCAUGCAAGCUAAGGCAGCUGAGUUGCAGACUGGUCUAGAAACAAAUAGACUUAUCUUUGAAGAUAAGGCAACUCCGUGUGUUCCCAAUGCAAGAAGAAUUAAAAAAAAGAAGUCAAAACCACCAGAAAAGAAAAGUUCUAGGAACUAUUUUGGUGCACAACCACAUUAUAGAUUAUGCUUGGGUGAUAUGCCAUUUGUAGCUGGGAAGUCCACAAGCCCUAGCCAUGCCGUGGUAGCCAAUGUUCAGCUUGUCUUGCAUCUAAUGAAGCAACACAGUAAAGCUUUGUGCAAUGAUCGAGUCAUCAACAGUAUUCCUUUGGCAAAGCAAGUGUCUUCACGAGGUGGUAAAAGUAAGAAGUUGUCAGUAACACCUCCCUCCUCCAACGGUAUUAAUGAGGAGUUGUCAGAAGUCUUACAGACUUUACAGGAUGAAUUUGGGCAAAUGAGCUUUGAUCACCAGCAGCUUGCAAAACUUAUCCAGGAGUCGCCAACCGUUGAACUGAAAGACAAGUUGGAGUGUGAAUUGGAGGCAUUAGUGGGAAGGAUGGAAGCAAAAGCCAACCAAAUAACUAAAGUUCGAAAAUACCAAGCCCAGCUGGAGAAACAGAAGUUAGAGAAGCAGAAGAAGGAAUUAAAAGCUACCAAAAAGACUCUUGAUGAAGAAGGAAACAGCAGCAGCCGUUCUGGAAUCACAGGGACCACAAAUAAGAAAGAUUUUAUGAAACUGAGACCUGGAGAAAAAAGGAGAAAAAAUCUUCAGUUAUUGAAGGACAUGCAAAGCAUACAGAAUUCAUUACAAAGCAGUAGUUUGUGUUGGGAUUACUGACUCAUAACCAGGUCAUUAAAUUGUAUAACCAUCAUUUGAAUUGUAGUGGCUCUCAGUCCUAAUUAGGAGAAUGGUGAUUGAAUGAUGCUAAAUCCCACCCCAUUUCUCAGCUAGGAUUCAAACUGAACUACUCCAGCUUUUUGUACUGUCAGAUUUGGUCAACUGAACCAAAAUUUCAGUUUCCACGAUGCUAAUAUUUAUUCUGCUGGAACAAUCAGCUACAGCUAACUGCCAAUUCUUCAGUCUGAAUAACUUGUUCAGGUGGAGGACGGUCAGAAGAGGGCACCACUAGUCACCGAGAACACUAGUUCGCUAUUCCUAGAGCAGUACUCUACAGGGACUUCAGUGAGUCAUAAGCUCAGUUAGUUGUCAACUUUGGAGAAGUGGGAAGCUAAGAAUAACUGAACACCUAGUUAUUAUAGAUCAUGACAAUGGAGAAAAGAAGAUAAAUACAAGAAAUUCUUAGACACUGACUGGAUGUUAAGAGUCCAGAAAAGAAAAAAAGAGCAGUCUAGUACGACAACCAGAUUUCUGACUUGAGUAAAUGGACAGCUGGUAUUGAUGUCAACUGAGAGAGAGAAUGCAAGAAAAAGAGUAAGUUUGGAGUUAAAUGUGAUGAUUUCCAUUUUGGAGAUGUUGGGUAUAAGGUUCCUAUGGGAUACUCAAGGAUGUGUGUUUAAGAUAGAGGCAUUUGUUUACUUACAUUAGGACAGGGGUUCACACUGGAGAUACAAAUUUUGGAGUCAUCAGCCAAUAUAUGGCAAGUGAUGUUACAAAUUUAGAUAUGGUCAACCGAAAAGAGUAUACAGGAGGGAAAAGGGAAAUGGGUCAAGGAUGAGGUCCUAGGGCGUGUUGCUAUUAAAGGAAGAAAAGCCAACAAAUGAGACUGAGUGGUAACUUGAAGUUCUUUAAUAAAGCCAUAUUUCAUAAUGGGAGCUGCAAUUACGGCAUUAAGUUCAGAAUAAGAAAAAGAAAUUGUCACAAUGCUAGAUAUAACCUUAUUAGCUAGGUUAUCUUCCUAUGCCUUAGUUUCCUUCCUCACCUAUAAAAUGGGGUUGAUGUUAUUCUCAAGAAUAUACUCUCUGAGAAUGACUGAGAUAGUAAGCACUCAAUAAUAAUAAUUACUAUCAUUAUAUAAUAGCCAAUUCUGAAAAAAUGUAAGUAGGUAGUUCAGAUCAAGAGCUUGGUGUAUAUAUAAGGCUAACUGGGGAAAAGAAAAAGACUGAGAGGUUAUUCAAUCAAGAGCCAAGAGCAAGAAAAGACAAAUAGCAUGCUAAGGACUAGGAAGCUAAAUUUAGUAAAUAAUAAUCCAUUUAGAAUACAGGUCCUGCCUUUGGCUUGUUUUUACACAUAGAAAUGACACCUAGCCAAGUAAAAUUCAGCAUUUUUAAAAUCCUUUUUAAAAAUUAUGAUUGGUAACAAAAUGAAAGAUGGUAGUUAUAUUAACUAAGAAAUCAUUUACUUCAUUCUUCUAACAUAUUACUUUAUUUCUCGGAGUUUAUGAGUAGAUAUCUGUAGAUUAUCACACAGAUGAAACAAAACAAAAGCAUGAGGAAAAAAACACAGCUUGUAAGCUCAUCUUCAGUUUCCAGUCCAUAUUAUAAGUAUUAGGCUGGGCAGAGAAGGGCAUCUACAUACAAACAGAUGCAAUGGAGAUGAUGUAUUUCAUCCAAAAAUUAACCUGACUUUAUUCAGAGAAGAAAGACAUGAAGGAAGC